AACGAACGCUGGCGGCAUGCCUAACACAUGCAAGUCGAACGAGACCUUCGGGUCUAUUGGCGCACGUGUGCGUAACGCGUGGUAACCUGCCCUUAGGUUCGGAAUAACUCCCCUAAAGGGGUGCUAAUACCGGAUAAUGUCUUCGGACCAAAGAUUUAUCGCCUUUGGAUGGGCCCGCGUUGGAUUAGCUAGUUGGUAGGGUAAAAGCCUACCAAGGCGACGAUCCUUAGCUGGUCGGAGAGGAUGCUCAGCCACAAUGGGACUGAGACACGGCCCAGACUGGUACGGGAGGGAGCAGUAGGGAAUAUUGGACACUGGGCGCAAGCCUGAUCAAGCAAUGCCGCGUGAGUGAUGAAGGCCUUAGGGUUGUAAAGCUCUUUUACACGGGAUGAGAAUGACAGUACCGGGAGAAUAAGCUCCGGCUAACUCCGUG
rnacentral:rRNA from 1 species